rnacentral:rRNA from 1 species
AGAAUUUUAAUGGUCGAACAGACCAACCCUUAAAGACUUCUGCACCUUUAGGAUAUUCUGGUCCAACAUCGAGGUCACAAACCUUUUUUUCGAUUAGAGCUCUUAAAAAAGAUAAUGCUGUUAUCCCUACGGUAACUAAUUCCAUUAAUCAUAAUUUUUGGAUCAACACAAGAAAGUUUUUUAUUUUAAAGAAGCUUUUUUUGUUCCUUAGUCGCCCCAACCAAAAUUUUUAAUAAUUUUUUUUUACGAAGUAUAAAUAAACUUUAUUAAUUUUUUUAAAGCUCGAUAGGGUCUUCUUGUCUUUUAAUUUUAUAUAGAUCUCUUCAUCUAUAAGUAAAGUUCUAUUUAAUUAGAAAGAGACAGCUUUGCUCUUGUGAGACCAUUCAUACCAGUCCUCAAUUAUAGGACAAAUUAUUAUGCUACCUUAGCACAGUUAAGAUACUGCGGCCGUUAAAUAAAAUCACUGGGCAGGCCGGACUCUUUAUAAAAAUUAAUCAAAGAGCC